CCAGACUCCUACGGGAGGCAGCAGUGGGGAAUAUUGGGCAAUGGAGGCAACUCUUACCCAGCAAUGCCGCGUGAAUGAAGAAGGUCUUCGGAUUGUAAAGUUCUUUAAUUGGGGACGAAAAAAAUGACGGUACCUGACCAAGAAGCUCCGGCUAAAUACGUGCCAGCAGCCGCGGUAAUACGUAUGGAGCAAGCGUUAUCCGGAUUUACUGGGUGUAAAGGGAGCGCAGGCGGCCUUGCAAGUCUGAUGUGAAAGGCCGGGGCCCAACCCCGGGACUGCAUUGGGAACUACCGGGCUGGAGUGCCGGAGAGGUAGGCGGAAUUCCUAGUGUAGCGGUGAAAUGCGUAGAUAUUAGGAGGAACACCAGUGGCGAAGGCGGCCUACUGGACGGUGACUGACGCUGAGGCUCGAAAGCGUGGGGAGCAAACAGGAUUAGAUACCCUCGUAA
rnacentral:rRNA from 1 species